AUAAACGCUGGCGGCGUGCAUUAUGCAUGCAAGUCGAACGGUGCCCGCAAGGGUACAGUGGCAAACGGGUGAGUAACACAUCGGAACGUACCCAGGAGUGGGGGACAACCUCGAGAAAUCGAGGCUAAUACCGCAUACGUCCUGAGGGAGAAAGCGGGGGAUCCGUAAGGACCUCGCGCUCAUGGAGCGGCCGAUGUCGGAUUAGCUAGUUGGCGGGGUAAAAGCCCACCAAGGCUACGAUCCGUAGCUGGUUUGAGAGAACGACCAGCCACACUGGGACUGAGACACGGCCCAGACUCCUACGGGAGGCAGCAGUGGGGAAUUUUGGACAAUGGGGGCAACCCUGAUCCAGCCAUGCCGCGUGAGUGAAGAAGGCCUUCGGGUUGUAAAGCUCUUUCGGCCGGAACGAAAUCGCGUACGUGAAUAACGUGCGUGGAUGACGGUACUGGAAGAAGAAGCACCGGCUAACUACGU
rnacentral:rRNA from 1 species